rnacentral:rRNA from 1 species
ACGCGUUAAGUAGACCGCCUGGGGAGUACGGUCGCAAGAUUAAGACUCAAAUGAAUUGACGGGGGCCCGCACAAGCGGUGGAGCAUGUGGUUUAAUUCGAUGCANACGCGAAGAACCUUACCUACUCUUGACAUCCAGAGAAGCCAGCGGAGACGCAGGUGUGCCUUCGGGAACUCUGAGACAGGUGCUGCAUGGCUGUCGUCAGCUCGUGUUGUGAAAUGUUGGGUUAAGUCCCGCAACGAGCGCAACCCUUAUCCUUGUUUGCCAGCGAGUAAUGUCGGGAACUCCAGGGAGACUGCCGGUGAUAAACCGGAGGAAGGUGGGGACGACGUCAAGUCAUCAUGGCCCUUACGAGUAGGGCUACACACGUGCUACAAUGGCGCAUACAGAGGGCAGCAAGCUAGCGAUAGUGAGCGAAUCCCAAAAAGUGCGUCGUAGUCCGGAUUGGAGUCUGCAACUCGACUCCAUGAAGUCGGAAUCGCUAGUAAUCGUAGAUCAGAAUGCUACGGUG